UCUUUCCAAGUUGAAGAAUUAGGGGUGAGAAUGAUUAACUGUUGCUUGUGACCUCACCAGGUACACUUUUGGCUUAUCUCCCACCAACGUUGGCUUAUUGCUGCUCUUGGACAAGUCUUCCCGAAUGAGGCAACUGAGGUCUCUCACGAGAACACAGAGGUGACAGCAUCGUCUCUGAAUCAUGAGCUAACCUUGCAAAUCCUAUGCACAUCUGGAUCUUAGCUCUAAUUUCUCAAAUCC
rnacentral:lncRNA from 1 species